CAGCAGCCGCGGGAAUACGGAGGGUGCAAGCGUUAAUCGGAAUUACUGGGCGUAAAGCGCACGCAGGCGGUCUGACAAGUCAGAUGUGAAAUCCCCGGGCUUAACCUGGGAACUGCAUUUGAAACUGUCAGGCUGGAGUCUUGUAGAGGGGGGUAGAAUUCCAGGUGUAGCGGUGAAAUGCGUAGAGAUCUGGAGGAAUACCGGUGGCGAAGGCGGCCCCCUGGACAAAGACUGACGCUCAGGUGCGAAAGCGUGGGGAGCAAACAGGAUUAGAUACCCGUGUAGUCCCUGUCUCUUAUAC
rnacentral:rRNA from 1 species